UAGGGAAUCUUCGGCAAUGGGGGCAACCCUGACCGAGCAACGCCGCGUGAGUGAAGAAGGUUUUCGGAUCGUAAAGCUCUGUUGUAAGUCAAGAACGAGUGUGAGAGUGGAAAGUUCACACUGUGACGGUAGCUUACCAGAAAGGGACGGCUAACUACGUGCCAGCAGCCGCGGUAAUACGUAGGUCCCGAGCGUUGUCCGGAUUUAUUGGGCGUAAAGCGAGCGCAGGCGGUUUGAUAAGUCUGAAGUUAAAGGCUGUGGCUCAACCAUAGUUCGCUUUGGAAACUGUCAAACUUGAGUGCAGAAGGGGAGAGUGGAAUUCCAUGUGUAGCGGUGAAAUGCGUAGAUAUAUGGAGGAACACCGGUGGCGAAAGCGGCUCUCUGGUCUGUAACUGACGCUGAGGCUCGAAAGCGUGGGGAGCGAACAGGAUUAGAUACCCUGGUAGUCCACGCCGUAAACGAUGAGUGCUAGGUGUUGGAUCCUUUCCGGGAUUCAGUGCCGCAGCUAACGCAUUAAGCACUCCGCCUAGGGAGUACGACCGCAAGGUUG
rnacentral:rRNA from 1 species